GUGGGGAAUCUUGCGCAAUGGGCGAAAGCCUGACGCAGCCAUGCCGCGUGAAUGAUGAAGGUCUUAGGAUUGCAAAAUUCUUUCACCGGGGACGAUAAUGACGGUACCCGGAGAAGAAGCUCCGUCUAACUUCGUGCCAGCAGCCGCGGUAAUACGAAGGGGGCUAGCGUUGCUCGGAAUUACUGGGCGUAAAGGGCGCGUAGGCGGACAGCUUAGUCAGAGGUGAAAGCCCAGGGCUCAACCUUGGAAUUGCCUUUGAUACUGGCUGUCUUGAGUUUGGGAGAGGUGAGUGGAACUCCGAGUGUAGAGGUGAAAUUCGUAGAUAUUCGGAAGAACACCAGUGGCGAAGGCGACUCACUGGCCCAAUACUGACGCUGAGGCGCGAAAGCGUGGGGAGCAAACAGGAUUAGAAACCCUUGUAGUCC
rnacentral:rRNA from 1 species